rnacentral:tRNA from 1 species
GCGGAAUUGGCAGACGCGCAAGAUUCAGGUUCUUGUGGUAGCAAUACUGUGUGGGUUCAAGUCCCGUUUUCCGCACCA